ACAGAGGGUGCGAGCGUUGUCCGGAAUCACUGGGCGUAAAGGGCGUGUAGGCGGCUUGGUAAGCCGCGUGUGAAAUCCCGGGGCUCAACCCCGGAAUGGCACGCGGGACUGCCUGGCUUGAGCAUGGUAGAGGCGAGUGGAAUUCCUGGUGUAGCGGUGGAGUGCGUAGAGAUCAGGAAGAACACCGGUGGCGAAGGCGGCUCGCUGGGCCAUUGCUGACGCUGAGGCGCGAAAGCGUGGGGAGCAAACAGGA
rnacentral:rRNA from 1 species